rnacentral:rRNA from 1 species
UACGUAUGGAGCAAGCGUUAUCCGGAUUUACUGGGUGUAAAGGGAGUGUAGGUGGCAUCACAAGUCAGAAGUGAAAGCCCGGGGCUCAACCUCGGGACUGCUUUUGAAACUGUGGAGCUGGAGUGCAGGAGAGGCAAGUGGAAUUCCUAGUGUAGCGGUGAAAUGCGUAGAUAUUAGGAGGAACACCAGUGGCGAAGGCGGCUUGCUGGACUGUAACUGACACUGAGGCUCGAAAGCGUGGGGAGCAAACAGG